UUGAACGCUGGCGGCAGGCCUAACACAUGCAAGUCGAGCGGUAGCACAGAGAGCUUGCUCUCGGGUGACGAGCGGCGGACGGGUGAGUAAUGUCUGGGAAACUGCCUGAUGGAGGGGGAUAACUACUGGAAACGGUAGCUAAUACCGCAUAAUGUCGCAAGACCAAAGUGGGGGACCUUCGGGCCUCAUGCCAUCAGAUGUGCCCAGAUGGGAUUAGCUAGUAGGUGGGGUAACGGCUCACCUAGGCGACGAUCCCUAGCUGGUCUGAGAGGAUGACCAGCCACACUGGAACUGAGACACGGUCCAGACUCCUACGGGAGGCAGCAGUGGGGAAUAUUGCACAAUGGGCGCAAGCCUGAUGCAGCCAUGCCGCGUGUGUGAAGAAGGCCUUCGGGUUGUAAAGCACUUUCAGCGGGGAGGAAGGCGGUGAGGUUAAUAACCUCAUCGAUUGACGUUACCCGCAGAAGAAGCACCGGCUAACUCCGUGCCAGCAGCCGCGGUAAUACGGAGGGUGCAAGCGUUAAUCGGAAUUACUGGGCGUAAAGCGCACGCAGGCGGUCUGUCAAGUCGGAUGUGAAAUCCCCGGGCUCAACCUGGGAACUGCAUUCGAAACUGGCAGGCUAGAGUCUUGUAGAGGGGGGUAGAAUUCCAGGUGUAGCGGUGAAAUGCGUAGAGAUCUGGAGGAAUACCGGUGGCGAAGGCGGCCCCCUGGACAAAGACUGACGCUCAGGUGCGAAAGCGUGGGGAGCAAACAGGAUUAGAUACCCUGGUAGUCCACGCCGUAAACGAUGUCGAUUUGGAGGUUGUGCCCUUGAGGCGUGGCUUCCGGAGCUAACGCGUUAAAUCGACCGCCUGGGGAGUACGGCCGCAAGGUUAAAACUCAAAUGAAUUGACGGGGGCCCGCACAAGCGGUGGAGCAUGUGGUUUAAUUCGAUGCAGCGCGAAGAACCUUACCUGGUCUUGACAUCCACAGAACUUUCCAGAGAUGGAUUGGUGCCUUCGGGAACUGUGAGACAGGUGCUGCAUGGCUGUCGUCAGCUCGUGUUGUGAAAUGUUGGGUUAAGUCCCGCAACGAGCGCAACCCUUAUCCUUUGUUGCCAGCGGUUAGGCUGGGAACUCAAAGGAGACUGCCAGUGAUAAACUGGAGGAAGGUGGGGAUGACGUCAAGUCAUCAUGGCCCUUACGACCAGGGCUACACACGUGCUACAAUGGCAUAUACAAAGAGAAGCGACCUCGCGAGAGCAAGCGGACCUCAUAAAGUAUGUCGUAGUCCGGAUUGGAGUCUGCAACUCGACUCCAUGAAGUCGGAAUCGCUAGUAAUCGUAGAUCAGAAUGCUACGGUGAAUACGUUCCCGGGCCUUGUACACACCGCCCGUCACACCAUGGGAGUGGGUUGCAAAAGAAGUAGGUAGCUUAACCUUCGGGAGGGCGCUUACCACUUUGUGAUUCAUGACUGGGGUG
rnacentral:rRNA from 1 species